GGGCUUAUAGCUCAGUCGGUUAGAGCGCUUCCCUGAUAAGGAAGAGGUCGCUGGUUCGAGUCCAGCUAAGCCCACCA
rnacentral:tRNA from 1 species